AGUGGGAAAAGAUGCAGAAGAUAAUGCUGGUGUCUUACAUGUUCUCAAGAGCUCAAUAAGAGAUGGAAAAACUCCAGAAAUACAAAUCUAAAAUGGGUGGAGAGAUUCAGUGCCCAGCUCUGCACUACUGCCUUGGAGAUGCCUCCUUUUGGCUCUUGUGCCUUGUUCCAUGGGGAGCCUCUCAGCAGAGUGGGUUUAACUGGGUAUUUCACUGCUGGAAGGAUGGAUACACGGAAUCCAGAGGCAGGAGGUGCCUGUGGAGAUGGGAUUGCUCUCCCAAAGAGAUUUGGCUGCUCCUGCAGGUGGAAGGAAGCUUUGCCCUUCUCCAACCACCUGACAGCAUCUGGAAGAGUGAAGGUGAUGGGCUCGAGGUUUUUCCCCAGGCUUGUGCAGAAUGUGACAAACACUGAGCCUGGGGCCUUUGUGAGACCAUGGGAAGAGUGUCCCUUGUGUCCCAGCUGUGUCCCAGAGCUGUACUGCCAACAGGCCUGCACAGCAAUGGGCAGGGCUGGAGAUGGGACUGAUCCAGGGAUCUGUUUCACGUGUGGUGAGGUUUGGGAAUGCAGUUUUUGUGUGUCAUUGAUGGAAGUGUGGCUUUUACUCACUGAGGAUGUGCCUCCCAGCUUCAGCAGCUCUAAUGCACAGCUGCACUUCUCAGCCUGCCUGCAUCCCAACACAGAGCUUGCACAUUGUAGAGACUCAGAAGAGGGGGGAUAGGAAAUAUUGUCUACUAUAAGAGAAUUAAAGA